AGAGUUUGAUCCUGGCUCAGGAUGAACGCUAGCGGCAGUAAUACAUGCAAGUCGAGGGGCAGCAGGGGUGUAGCAAUACACUCGCCGGCGACCGGCAAACGGGUGCGGAACACGUACGCAAUCUACCCAAAACUGAUGAAUAGCCCUCCGAAAGGAGGAUUAAUACAUCGUAACAUCUUAGAGUGGCAUCACUUUAUGAUUAUAGCUCCGGCGGUUUUGGAUGAGCGUGCGGCUGAUUAGGUAGUUGGUAUGGGUAACGGCCUACCAAGCCUGCGAUCAGUAACUGGUGUGAGAGCACGACCAGUCACACGGGCACUGAGACACGGGCCCGACUCCUACGGGAGGCAGCAGUAAGGAAUAUUGGUCAAUGGACGCAAGUCUGAACCAGCCAUGCCGCGUGAAGGAUGAAGGUCCUCUGGAUUGUAAACUUCUUUUAUAGGGGAAGAAACCCGGAAAUUCUUUUUCGGUUGACGGUACCCUGGGAAUAAGCACCGGCUAACUCCGUGCCAGCAGCCGCGGUAAUACGGAGGGUGCAAGCGUUAUCCGGAUUCACUGGGUUUAAAGGGUGCGCAGGUGGAUUUGUAAGUCCGUGGUGAAAUCUCCAAGCUUAACUUGGAAACUGCCGUGGAUACUAUAAAUCUUGAAUGCUGUGGAGGUGAGCGGAAUAUGUCAUGUAGCGGUGAAAUGCUUAGAUAUGACAUAGAACACCAAUUGCGAAGGCAGCUCACUACCCAGAUAUUGACACUGAGGCACGAAAGCGUGGGGAUCAAACAGGAUUAGAUACCCUAGUAGUCC
rnacentral:rRNA from 1 species